rnacentral:rRNA from 1 species
GAUGAACGCUGGCGGCGUGCCUAAUACAUGCAAGUCGAGCGAACGGACGAGAAGCUUGCUUCUCUGUUGUUAGCGGCGGACGGGUGAGAAACACGUGGAUAACCUACCUAUAAGACUGGGAUAACUUCGGGAAACCGGAGCUAAUACCGGAUAAUAUUUUGAACCGCAUGGUUCAAAAGUGAAAGACGGUGUUGCUGUAUCUUCUAGCUGCAUCUGCGCUGCAUUAGCUGGUUGGUAAGGUAACGGCUUACGAAGGCAAGGAUGCAUAGCCGAGCUGAGAGGGUGAUCGGCGACACUGGAACUGAGACACGGUCCAGACUCCUACGGGAGGCAGCAGUAGGGAACGUUCCGCAGUAGGCGAAAGCCUGGCGCAGCAACGCCGCGCGAGUGAUGAAGGUCUUCGGAGCGUAAAACUCUGUUAUUAGGGAAGAACAGAUGUGUAAGUAAAUGUGCACAGCGUGACGGUACCUAAUCAGAAAGCAACGGCUAACUACGUG